AGCAGGGCCACACAGUGUUCGCUGAGAUGGUCCGCUCACCUCCAGACUGAGGCAGCGUCACAGGCCACCAGGUCCCCAGCGACCAUGAUCUACCUGGGAGUGUCCCCGCAGAGACCAGGCCGGCCUGCAAGAAGUCUGCUGAAUAGGAACAUAAAUAAAACAAGUGACUUUUUCACCGGUGCUGGGUCAAUGCUACGAAGCCGGUUCUGCUGGGAAUGGCUGCUGGCACAUUUUGAAAGAAGGACGGGCCCGGGGCCAGAGAUCAUGGUGCGGGGGGAUGAUGCUGACCUUGGCCUCCUUGGCCUCCUUGGCCUGGGCAGAGCACACGGCUGACGUCCACCUGUGCAUCCCGCCACUCUCCUAAAGGGGCUGCAACCAGCACCAAGGCCGUGUUAGACUCUGUUAUCACAGAAAGCAGUGCAGAGCCGGCAGGUAGCUCUUUGUAGACGUCUUGGUAAAUACACGGAAAGGCGGUGGACACCACAGCGUCAUCUGAGAUCCCAGGACCCGGGCUGGGAAGCCAGAGCUGAAAUUCAGGUAUAGCUCUCGCCAGGCUCUUUUCUUUGCAGGUGUGACACGCAUGUGUGCACGCACGGAUAGAUCCAUGCACACCCGCAUGUGCCCACUCAGCAUGCUCGCCCCAUACCAUGCAUGAGUUCGUGUGUGCACGCACACCUCCUUUUCUGGGACUUCCUGCCCUUCCUGAGUCCCAGCUCCUGUGCUCCUGGAGCUUUCACGGCAUCCUUGUCCUCACGGGGGCCUGUCUGCUGUCCAGGACGAGCCAUAUGGGAGGGCUGCCUCAGGGUGAGUUCUCAAGAGACCAGACGACCCUGUGCCAGCUCAUGGUAGCUUGGUGGGUGCAGAGGCCCCAGGAGACCUGAGAGACCCUUUCAGCGGUGCCCUCCUCUGCAGCCUCCUGGAGAAGUGGUCUGCACCCAACAAGGGUGGAUGGGGUCGGGAGCAGUGGCAAUGGGGGACCUAUGGCACACCACCUCUCAAAGCGCAGGGUGAUGUCCUAGAAGAGCAGGAGCCUUGGGGGCGCCAAGGGAGGUUGGGGGGGGGGGGGUCCUGAGGCACCAAGAGCUUCUCAACAAAUGGGUUCUGAGUCACGGAGCUUUCACCCGGAGCCCAUCAUGAGCCCAGCACCGUGCUCCCAGCCUCAGCUCAGCCCCUGCCGCCGAGAGCCAGCACGCCCCACAGACACAGGUGGACAACAGUGGCGGCUACCUUGGGACAGCAGCUUCCACUUACUGAGUGUGCACUAGAUCUGGGCACGGGCGUCAGCAUCGAAGCCACUGCACAUCUGGAACAGCCUGCAGGCCUUUUAAAACCAUGAGCCAAAAAAAAAAAAAAAAAAAAAAA